UUUUUUUUUUUUUGGUAUGAGUCUCUAGGGCUGCCAUAACAAAGUACCAAAAACUGGGUGGUUUAAAAUGAUGGAAAUUUGUUCCCUCACCGUCUUGGAGGCUAGAAGUCUGAAAUCAAGAUAUCAGGAGGGCCAUACUAUCUCCAAAAGCUAGGCUUUUGUCCAACAAGAGCUCCUAAUCAAGUGGGGGACACAAACCAGUGCCAAUGACCAUGACACCUAUAGACAGACGACUAGGGCUGCAGUCAAGUUUAUAAGUCAGGUGCCGUCCUCAGAUGGGGAAGGACUGGGUUUUCUGUGUGGGGUGCAAGGAGAAGGAUGAUGGUAUUUCAUUUAGGCUGAGCAAAUUUUAACAAGGAGCCCUGGUGGUGUAGUGCUUAAGCACUUGGAUGCUAACUGAAAGGUUGGCAGCUCGAACCCACCGGCCACUCCACAGAAGAAGGAUGUGCAGUCUGCUUCCAACAAGAUUACAUACAGCCUUGGAAACUCUCUGAGGCAGUUCCACUCUGUCCUAUAGGGUCACUGUGAGUCAGAAUCGACUUGACGGCAAUGGUUUGGUUUGGUUUUUAAUAUUUUAACGGAGGGAAGUGGUGGUUCACUGGUAGAAUUCUCUCAUUCUAUGAAGUUGACUCUGGUUCGAUGCCUGGCCAACGCACCUCCUGCCGAGCUACCACCCGUCUAUCAGUGGAGGUUUGUGUGUUGCUAUGAGCUGAACAGGUUUCCGCAGAGCUUCCAGACUAACUUGGACUAGGAAGAAGGGUCUGGCCAUUUACUUCCAAAAACCAGCCGAUGAGAACUCUAUGGAUCACGAUGGACCAAUCCACAACCAAUCAUGGGGAUGGUGCAGGACCAGACCGUGUUUUGUUCCACUGUGCGUGGGGUCACCAUGAGUCAGGGGUCAACUCGAUGGCAGCUAACAACAACAUAUUACCCAUGAAGUGCCCACAGUAGAUGUAGAAUGACCACACAUUGCUUGUCUGGGGGUGGGAUUUCUCCCUGCCAAACCAGCCUUCGGUAAGCAAACAAGAGGCUAAUUUUAAAAAGCCAAUGAGCGAAUGUGCGUGUGCAGCCCCAGAAGCCCCAGUUGGAUCCUAAACCAAGAGUGGCUCAGAAAUGCCUGCUCACAUGUGAUGCGCAGAUAAGGCCAGCCACUGAAGGCUGCUUUCCCCCGAAGGUUCCUGUGUGCGGGAGAAUAAAGGCCUGUCCCUUGGCUGAGGUGCGGCAGGGCCAGUAGUGGGGUUUUGUCUCCAGUAUCCAGCCCCUGCUCAGCCCCAGGGCCUCGCCUCUGAGCCUGCUAUUUUUGAGACAGGCUGAUGGCUGACUGUUUCCAUGACAACAAACAGCUUCCAUCCCCCAGUGGACCAACAGGAUGCAGAUGGUGGGGGAAGACGGGGACAUGAUUUCCCCAAUUCUCCCCAGAACGAGUGUGGCUUUGGAGAAGUGGACCCCAGGAAAGCUUGAUUGUAUGCCAUUUUCAGCCAGGGCAUCAUGGUCCCACACAGGCCUAAGGCCCCAUCCCUGGGGGGCUUGUGAGCCCCAAGAUAGCAUCUGAGUGGCUGUUUGUGGGGUCACACAAGACCCCGUAACCUCAGAAAUGACUCAGUAUGUCUGAGUGGUGGGGGAAUUCCUGGGUUGUGCAAAUGGUUAAGGCGCUCAGCUACUAAACUAAAGGUUGGCGGUUCAAGUCCACCCAGAGGUACCUUGCAAGAAAGUCCCGGUGAUCUACUUCUGAAAGGUCACAACCCUGAAAACCCUGUGGGGCACAGUUCCUCUCUGACACACCAGAGCCCCGAUGGGCUCGACAGCAGCUAGUGGCGGUGCUGAUGUGGGCGGUGGUGACACGUGGGAGUGGUUAUGAGUCAGGGAAGCCGGGAGGCCCUCAGGCUAAAGACGGGUGCCUAACGGGGGUUAAGGUGACCAGCAAGUGGGCCACGGAAUCCAAAUAUUGCCACGUUGGCAAGGCCGGAGCCAAAGUGGACAAUUUUCUGCUUGCAUUCAAUGAAAACGUUCUUAUCACCUGCUUAGAGAAGCCAGCCCAGGUGACUUUGAGAGCCAAAUCCCUGGAGAAAUGAAUCUGACUGAACAAAGAAGUUUUAUUUAUUUUUUUUUUUCACUCUCCGCAGAAUGACAAAAGUUACACAUGCCAGUUCUUCUGUUAUUUCAUUCGUUGACACACUCAUGUAAACCAAGCUGCGAGUUAUCACUGGUUGUGUCCAGUACACAGGACACGCCAAGUACCAUACAGAGCACACAGCACCUUUGAUUGGAAGUAUGCUGAAUACAUGUGCUAUUUCCAUAACUAAAAAGGGCUCUUCAUGAGCAAAAGCCACAGAGUGACCACCCAGAAACGUCCGCUGUACGAGCUGAGCUGAACGCAUCUAAACGUCCCCUCUCUAAACGGCUUCUGAGUAUGGUUCUAGUUUUCUACAUCUAGAGUCAAUGGCAGAAUUUUUUUUGUGGUUGAUCACGGAUGUGCACAAAGGCCUACUUCUUAAACUAAUGAAAAUAUGGUCGGUGGAAAUAUGAAUAAAUAGACAAAUUCACUAAAUAGGUUAAGCUGAAUUUCGUCUUCUGGGAAGUUUUCGAUUUAAUUUACUGAUUGUGGAGUAAUGCAGUACUUAAUAUGGCCCUUCUAGCCAGAGUCUUUGUGACUCACACACAAUGAUUGAGUGGGACUGUGCAAAUAAGGUAUAUGGAACCCAUGACGGUUGGGGCUAUGUGUCAACUUGGCUGAGCCAUAAUUUCCAGUAUUGUGUGGUGUCCCUCCAUUUUAUGCGUUGUGGAUCCUGACCUCUACCUGUUGAUGAGGGAGGAUUGGUGUAAGGCGUGUCUUGGGUCGAAGCCUCACAGAAGGGUAUGAGUCAAGCCCCGCCCUUACUAAUGUUACACCCUUUCCUGGGGUGUGGACUACAUCUUUUAUAUGUGUGUCCUGGAGAGGCUCUCUCUGUCUAUAUCCAUGUUCUACAUCCAGUUGGUGAUCAGCUGACUGCCCCAGAGGCCUGCUGUCUGACCUGCUGAUUCCGGGAUUUGCCAGCUCCUACAGCCCCUUGAUGAACUGAUUUGUCAGCUUUUGCAGUCUUGUGAGCCAGCAGCCUGUGGUCUGAACUGCUGGUUUGGGUUUGUCGGCCCCUGCAGCCACAUGGGUCAGGAGAAGCCUACGCCUGACCCAAGAAUUUGGGACUUGCCAGCCUCCACAGCCUCGUGAGUCAUUUCCUUUGUACAGUUCAUGAGUUGUGUGAGAUGUUGCAGCAAACUAGGGAAGGACUGAGAGAGGGAGAGGACUGAGGGGAGGAGGAGUAGCUGAUGUUAGAGAUGAUGGAGUGGGACAGCAGUUUGGAAAAGUUGGACAUUUGGGAUGUCUUUAACCUCCGCCUCAUAGGAAGCAGCUUUGUGCUGAUUCUUAUAAAAGAAAUUCUUUGUUUACUGAUUUUAUUCAAAUUCCCUAUUUGAAUUGAGGUUGGGACUGUUGUUUCUCUCUGCCAGCUUUUUGCACGGUGUCAUAUUUUACUUUUUCCACUCAGUAUGGAGAUGAAAUGAACCUCUUGGUGGUUUUAGGAGAAGUGAUGUUUUAGCUGCCAUAGUGAAAUGGAAAAGACCGUUCUGGCACUAGUAGGGGAUUUUUGAGAAUUCUGUUCAUUGACAAUCUUUGUCACGUAAAUUUUGUCUCAUCUGCUCUCAGCAUCUAAAACCAAGAACUGAUCAAUAUUACUGAAUAAGAUUUCCUUUUAGGCCACUAUGGGGAUCUAUGUAAAAAAAAAAAGAUACCUUUUAUUUGGAUUCAUUCCCUGCAAACAUGAAUGUUGAGACUAGUCAUUGCAACUAUUGCCCAAACAAAACGAAAACAAACUUUUUUGUUUCACGUUUUUAUAGUUCUCUUAAUGAGGCGGUCUUUUCUUAGCUUCUUUCUAAGUUUUCAUUCUUCAGCCUCAGAGUUUAUAGUCUAUUUAAAGUUGGAAAAAAACUAACAAUGGGCACUUAAAUGACCGUAUGGGCUUCUAGUGCAUCUCCUUUGGGCUCAGAUGCCACUACUUCCAGAGAAAGCUGGGCCCAUGAGGGCUCAACAAGAUAAUCUCCCCAUCCCAACCCAAUGCUAUAGCACCAUCUUCACCAUUUAUCGCAAUUAAAUAAGCAUAUUGGCUUCUUUCUAAACUAAAGAUUAAAUAUAUUAUUUCAUUUUAAUACUUUUGGAUUCAUACAUCUCAUAUCUUAUACUCAAGUUAAUAAUUCCUAUUUGCUAUACAUUUAUGAAAAAGUCUUAUAAACAGCUUUAUAAUUAAUAGAUAUUCCUGGUAAUAUAGAUUUGGGAAAUUACCCCAAAUGCAGGAAAAAUCAAGCACAAAAAGCACAGAGAUGCUCAUCCCAAUGACCAACCGGGAACAGCCUUCAGCAUCACGGAAAUCAGUAAAUGUUGAAUGUUAUGCAAAUAUUAAUAUAAUGCUUCAGAAGGCCAUGAAUAAAAAGAAAACACUUUUGCUAAAAUAGCAAAUGAAAAAGACUAUAUAAAAUUGUAUCUGUAGUGUGAUGACAUUAUAUAAGUUUCAAAAGGAGAAAUGAAACAUGCUUAGAAAAAAAAAAAAAACAGACUUGGAAAAAAACAUCCUGAAAUGUUACUGGGGAUUAUGUUUAGGUAGUGGGACUAUUGAUAUUCUUUUUACUAAAUUUUCUAUACUACCUAUGUAUUAUUUUAAUAGGAAAAUAAUAACGAAGAGGAGAAAGAGGAGCACCCAGUGAAAACAAAAUCAGUAAUGUCUCUCAUAGUUUCAUUUUGGGAUGAUUUUCACAUUCAUAGGAAUGGGGACACUUUCUUCAAUGGGUGUUCCUGGUGAGACUUCAAGGGACACUUCUCUACCACCUUCCUCGACAGAUGCCUCUGACAUUACACCUGUGAAAACAAAAAAAGAACACUGUUAAGAACAGAUUUCCCAAUUCCAUCCUCAGAAUAAAGUUUGCUUCAAAAUAUACUGAUAUGUGUUCUUGGCAGUGUAAACUGAAUGACCAAGGUUGAAUGACCAAGGCUCAACUCAUUCAAUCUAGGCUAAGACCCAGAACAUUACUGAGUGCUUCGUUUGCUCAGGAAUUUCUGCAUAAAUAAAAGGAGUUUAUAAUAAAGUCAAAAAAUGCAGUGAUGUAUCAAAAUACAGUUAUAUGAUAAUUCUCAAAGGAACAACUCCAAAUUCUUUCACUGAACUACAAUUGAUGGAUUACGUGGUACAAAUAGUUUGCGCUCGACUCUUGGUGGUUCAAUCCCACGCAGCAGUUCACGGAAAAAAAAGGCCCGGCGAUCUGCUUCCAUCAAGAUUACAGCCAAGAAAACCUUAUGGAGCAGUUCUAUUCUGUAACACAUACGAUCAUCACGAGCUGGAAUCGGCUCAGCAGCAACCAACGACAGCGACAUAGAUUGAGUUGUAUUCCACAAGAAGAUGUGCUGAAGUCCUAGCCCUUGGUGACUACGAAUAUGACUUUGUUUGGAAACAGGGUAUUUGAAUAUGUCGUGGGUUACGUUACCAUGAGGUCAUACCGGAGUAGGGUGGGUUGUAAUUCAAAAUGACUGGUGCCUUAUAAAAAGAGAAAAGACACAGAGACAGACAGACACAGAAGCAAGACGGCCAGGUGAAGACAGAGGAGGGAUGGAGUAAUGCUGCUACAAGCCCAGGAAUGCCUGGGACCACCAGAAGCUGGGAGAGACAAGGAAGGAUCCUCCCCUAGAAUCAUCAGGGGGAGCACGACCCUGCCAACACCCUGAAUUCAGACUUCAAGCCUCCAGAAAUAUGACAGAAUAAAUUUCUGUUAUUUUAAGCCCACCCAGUUUGUGGUAUUUUGUUACAGCAGUCCUAGGAAAGCAAUAUAAAAUUUUUCAGAGGGUCUCAUUUCCAUGUGGUCCUCAAGGAGGGUGCUUACAACUUUAAAUAUAAAGGUAUGAGAAAAUAAGAGUAGCUGGGUGGUGCAAGCAGUUAUCGCGGUUGUCAUGCUUGGCUGCUAACAAAAAGGUUGGUGGUUCGAGUUCACCCAGAGACACCUUGGAAGAAACCCUUGGUAGGCUACUUCCAAAAAAUCAGCCAUUGAAAACCCCACAGAGCACAGUUCUACUCUGACACACAUGGGGUCUCCAUGAGUUGGAGUCAACUUGACAGCAACUAGUUGGUUAUGAGAAAACGUAUGGCCUUUCUCUCAUCCUGGAUUCUUAUUUCCUUUCAAUCUCAGUGUGGAAGAAAGAAAAAAUAUACAAUUGCCUGUUUGUUCAUCCCAAGUUACUGGACUAAAGGCCGAUUUAGGGACAGAGCCCAGAUGGGAGAAUCCAUACAGAUCUGGCCCCGCCCAUGUCAGUUCUCUGCCCUGACUCAACUGCUGCAGUUCACACCCAUGGGAUGGGGGCUGGCUGGCAUUCCCUUCCCCUACUCCUACCUCAGGGAGAGAAGAUUGCCUCGUCCCUCUACAGAAAGAAGCAUUCCAGAGUCACUAGAAGAAUAAGAUUUUAGCCUCACGUAGCUGGUUGCCAGGAGCCCUGGUGGUGCAGUGGUUAAGAGCUCUGCUGCUAACCAAAAGGCCGGCACUUCAAAUCCACUGCCUCUCCUUGGAAACCCUAUGGAGUAGUUCUACUCUGUCCUAUAGGGUCGCUAUGAGUCAGAGUCAACUCAAUGACAAUGGGUUUGGUUUGGUUUUAGUCAGUUGCGACAAACAUACAUUUUCAGUGAGAUUUUUAAGGUUUUUUUUUUUUUUUUAAGGAUAUGCCCAAACAGACACAUCAAACAAGCGGAUUUUAUAUUCACAAGUAAAAAAUAUACCAAAAAUUGGACACGUCAAAUUCACUGUUUCUAAAGAUGUCAGCGGUUAAGAAUUUAUGGGGCA